CGCCAUGUUUGACCAUCCGUCUUAUUCAAACAUUUUAUGAAUAUAUUAUUUAUUUUGUUAUGAUUUGUUUUAUCAUUAGGUAUACUUCAAGUAUGACUUAUUUGUUUCUAUAUUUUUAUAAAUUUUUUGAAUAAGACGGAUGGUCAAACGUGAUGUACGAAAACCGAU
rnacentral:pre_miRNA from 1 species